CCUACGGGUGGCAGCAGUGGGGAAUAUUGGACAAUGGGCGAAAGCCUGAUCCAGCCAUGCCGCGUGUGUGAAGAAGGCCUUCGGGUUGUAAAGCACUUUAAGUGGGGAAGAAAGCCUUGGGGCUAAUACCCUCGAGGAAGGACAUCACCCACAGAAGAAGCACCGGCUAACUCCGUGCCAGCAGCCGCGGUAAUACGGAGGGUGCGAGCGUUAAUCGGAAUUACUGGGCGUAAAGCGCGCGUAGGCGGUCUGAUAAGCCGGUUGUGAAAGCCCCGGGCUCAACCUGGGAACGGCAUCCGGAACUGUCAGGCUAGAGUGCAGGAGAGGAAGGUAGAAUUCCCGGUGUAGCGGUGAAAUGCGUAGAGAUCGGGAGGAAUACCAGUGGCGAAGGCGGCCUUCUGGACUGACACUGACGCUGAGGUGCGAAAGCGUGGGUAGCAAACAGGAUUAGAUACCCUUGUAGUC
rnacentral:rRNA from 1 species